rnacentral:rRNA from 1 species
UACGUAGGGUGCAGGCGUUAAUCGGAAUUACUGGGCGUAAAGCGUGCGCAGGCGGUUAUGUAAGACAGGUGUGAAAUCCCCGGGCUUAACCUGGGAACUGCAUUUGUGACUGCAUAGCUAGAGUACGGUAGAGGGGGAUGGAAUUCCGCGUGUAGCAGUGAAAUGCGUAGAUAUGCGGAGGAACACCGAUGGCGAAGGCAAUCCCCUGGACCUGUACUGACGCUCAUGCACGAAAGCGUGGGGAGCAAACAGG